rnacentral:rRNA from 1 species
UGGCGAACGGGUGAGUAAUGCGUGACCAACCUGCCCCAUGCUCCAGAAUAGCUCUUGGAAACGGGUGGUAAUGCUGGAUGCUCCAACUUGACGCAUGUCUUGUUGGGAAAGUGUUUAGUGGCAUGGGAUGGGGUCGCGUCCUAUCAGCUUGUAGGCGGGGUAAUGGCCCACCUAGGCUUCGACGGGUAGCCGGCCUGAGAGGGCGGACGGCCACAUUGGGACUGAGAUACGGCCCAGACUCCUACGGGAGGCAGCGGG